ACGAACGCUGGCGGCUGCUUAACACAUGCAAGUCGAACGGAGUGGCGAACGGGUGAGUAACGCGUGAGCAACCUGCCUAUGACAGUGGGAUAGCCUCGGGAAACCGGGAUUAAUACCGCAUAGUCAUAGAUGGGCUCGCGUCUGAUUAGCUAGUUGGUGAGAUAACAGCCCACCAAGGCGACGAUCAGUAGCCGGUCUGAGAGGAUGACCGGCAACAUUGGAACUGAGACACGGUCCAAACUCCUACGGGAGGCAGCAGUGUGGAAUAUUGCACAAUGGGGGAAACCCUGAGGCAGCGACGCCGCGGGAACGAAGAAGUUAUUCGUAUCGUAAAUUUCUGUCCUAUGGGAAGCAGUACCAUAGAAGAAAGCUCCGGCUAAAUACGUGCCAGCAGCCGCGGAAAAC
rnacentral:rRNA from 1 species